rnacentral:rRNA from 1 species
AGGAUGAACGCUAGCUACAGGCUUAACACAUGCAAGUCGAGGGGCAGCAUUUUAGUUUGCUUGCAAACUAAAGAUGGCGACCGGCGCACGGGUGAGUAACACGUAUCCAACCUGCCGAUAACUCGGGGAUAGCCUUUCGAAAGAAAGAUUAAUAUCCGAUAGUAUAUUAAAACCGCAUGGUUUUACUAUUAAAGAAUUUCGGUUAUCGAUGGGGAUGCGUUCCAUUAGUUUGUUGGCGGGGUAACGGCCCACCAAGACUACGAUGGAUAGGGGUUCUGAGAGGAAGGUCCCCCACAUUGGAACUGAGACACGGUCCAAACUCCUACGGGAGGCAGCAGUGAGGAAUAUUGGUCAAUGGACGAGAGUCUGAACCAGCCAAGUAGCGUGAAGGAUGACUGCCCUAUGGGUUGUAAACUUCUUUUAUAUGGGAAUAAAGUAUUCCACGUGUGGGAUUUUGUAUGUACCAUAUGAAUAAGGAUCGGCUAACUCCGUGCCAGCAGCCGCGGUAAUACGGAGGAUCCGAGCGUUAUCCGGAUUUAUUGGGUUUAAAGGGAGCGUAGGUGGAUUGUUAAGUCAGUUGUGAAAGUUUGCGGCUCAACCGUAAAAUUGCAGUUGAAACUGGCAGUCUUGAGUACAGUAGAGGUGGGCGGAAUUCGUGGUGUAGCGGUGAAAUGCUUAGAUAUCACGAAGAACUCCGAUUGCGAAGGCAGCUCACUAGACUGCAACUGACACUGAUGCUCGAAAGUGUGGGUAUCAAACAGGAUUAGAUACCCUGGUAGUCCACACAGUAAACGAUGAAUACUCGCUGUUUGCGAUAUACAGUAAGCGGCCAAGCGAAAGCAUUAAGUAUUCCACCUGGGGAGUACGCCGGCAACGGUGAAACUCAAAGGAAUUGACGGGGGCCCGCACAAGCGGAGGAACAUGUGGUUUAAUUCGAUGAUACGCGAGGAACCUUACCCGGGCUUAAAUUGCAUUUGAAUAAUCUGGAAACAGGUUAGCCGCAAGGCAAAUGUGAAGGUGCUGCAUGGUUGUCGUCAGCUCGUGCCGUGAGGUGUCGGCUUAAGUGCCAUAACGAGCGCAACCCUUAUCUUUAGUUACUAACAGGUCAUGCUGAGGACUCUAGAGAGACUGCCGUCGUAAGAUGUGAGGAAGGUGGGGAUGACGUCAAAUCAGCACGGCCCUUACGUCCGGGGCUACACACGUGUUACAAUGGGGGGUACAGAAGGCAGCUACCUGGUGACAGGAUGCUAAUCCCAAAAACCUCUCUCAGUUCGGAUCGAAGUCUGCAACCCGACUUCGUGAAGCUGGAUUCGCUAGUAAUCGCGCAUCAGCCAUGGCGCGGUGAAUACGUUCCCGGGCCUUGUACACACCGCCCGUCAAGCCAUGAAAGCCGGGGGUACCUGAAGUACGUAACCGCAAGGAGCGUCCUAGGGUAAAACUNNUAAUUGGGGCUAAGUCGUAACAAGGUAGCC